rnacentral:ncRNA from 1 species
GCCUGAGAAAACCAAACCCAUCGUGAGGUGGGGGCGGAAAGCCACGGGCCUUGGAAUUAAAGAUUGAGCAUUGAGAACCCUUUUCUCUCCAAUCUUCAUUAUUCAAUCCCAAGACAGCCGGGUUGCCAGG